CCCCCCGCCCCGCCCUGCGGCCCCGCCACAUGUGGACGCGCCGCGAGGCCGCCGCUGGCCCCAGGCCCUCUGCUGGGGCGUCCCGCCAGCCCAGCUUGGUUCUGAGGCUCAGCGCCCCAUACGGCCCCGGGUCCCCCGAGUGGAGCGCGGCGGGCACGAGGUUUCUGAUGUCAAUCUAACCUACUCCAUGACCAACUUAUCCUAUCACGUGAGCCUUUGCUAGAGGCGCUCCAGGCCCAGAAAAGCAAAAAACCAGACAAGUGACGGCGUGGCUGACAUCAGGACCAGCUGCCUCGACAAAUGACCGCCUGCCCUGGCGCUGACCAAUUAGUGGAGACCAUGACUCUGAAAAGACACACUUUAACCCACAGCACCUUCCUGAGGAGUGUGGUAGCCAGAACUGAAGUACUGAGGUGACCGACCCAGGGUCCAGUCCGACUCCACCCGUCUAACACCUGGGGCCAUUUUCUCCACCGCCAGCAGAAUGGUGCCAAGAGGGGCGAGACUAGAGGAAUAAAUACUGACUUUCCUCCUCUCCUGCCAAUGUCACUCAUCAUGUGAGCCCCGUCAGAGCCGAAGAACAAGGAAACGCACCAUGCUGUCUGUGUAUGGGCCAGCCCCCCAGGACUAAAGAGGUGAAUGAAAAAUGUCCAGUGUGGAAGGUUGCAGGUGCAAUCCCCAGUUCAGGGUGCAUAUGGGAGGCGAUGGGUCGAUGUUUCUCUCUGUCUCCUUUCCUCUCUCUCUAAAAGCAAUAAAAACACAUCCCUGGGCCCAGUCGAGUGUGGCUCAGCGGUUGAGCCUUGACCCAGGAACCAGGAGGUCACCGGUUCAAUUCCUGGUCAGGGCACAUACCCAGGUUGUGGGCUUGAUCCCCAGUGUGGGGCAUGCAGGAGGCAGCCAAUCAAUGAUUCUCUCAGCAUUGAUGUUUCUAUCUCUCUCUCUUCCUCUCUGAAAUCAGUAAAAAUAUAUAUUUAGAUAAAUAAAUAAUAAAAAUAAAAACAUAUCCUCAGGUGAGGAUUUAAAAAAGCAACUGCCCAGCCCUAGCUGGCACAGCCAUUCACUGAUGGGAUAUUUCGUGGGGACAUGACGCCUUGGUCCCUUGGCAUAAAAGGAGCUGAAAAGCAGUUAGUCCUGAGUUUCCAGCAGAGGGGGUGGGGAGGGUG